GCCAAGCUGACCUGGAGUUAAACUCCAGCUUCAAAGAAAGCAAGCUCUGUGAUCUUGGGCAAGGAACUUAACCUAUCUGAGCUGCAUUCAGCUGAUGUUGCUAGCCUGAGGUCAUUGUCAUCACAGAUGACUUUCACUUGAUAACUCUGUCAUCAGCCUUGAGCCUUACAGGGAGCACAGUCCAGUUGUGUUUAAUGGUUGUUGUAUCACUGGGUAUGAAGAUCACAUGACAGACCAUAUAUUGCCAUACAAGGAUUGAGGCAAGAACUAUCAGCAGGCACCAUCUUCUGCUCCUCUCAACUAGCCUAUCAUCAUCAGUAGUAUUGAAGAACUGCCUGUUCAGAAUUCUCUACAUCAAAGACACUUCUGCAAUUUAAAAAAUACCCAAGAAUCAAUGCAGGACUCCACAUGCAGAAUUGCAAAGGAAAGCGGGGAGUGUGGGUCCUUCCAGCAUCUCUCACUUCACACAGCACCUCUUUAGCAAUGACUGGUGGUGUUUUAUUGGUGGGGAUACACAUUUCUUGUUUCCCAGCCAAACAUAUAUGCACAUCUUUAUGGACACCUGCAACAACUGUGAUUGUCUAAAUAACAACACAAAGGAUAAACAGAGACCCCAGGAAUGGCAGAUAAGGCUCAGUGAAUACAAACGAGCUGACACAUUUUAUAUUUGUUUCCUGGGCUGGGUUCCUGUUCAGUUUGAACCCACAGGCAAUGUUAUGAUGGAAAAUUCCACAACUGGCACACAACUUACAUUCCAAUUUGUAUCCAAGAAUCAAUUUCAGCAAAUGAAACUGGAAUUAAAACACAGAAUCUGAG
rnacentral:lncRNA from 1 species